AUUGAACGCUGGCGGCAGGCUUAACACAUGCAAGUCGAGCGGAGACUUCGGUCUUAGCGGCGAACGGGUGAGGAAUGCCUGGGAAUCUGCCUGGUAGUGGGGGAUAACGUUCCGAAAGGAACGCUAAUACCGCAUACGUCCUACGGGAGAAAGCAGGGGGACCUUCGGGCCUUGCGCUAUCAGAUGAGCCCAGGUCGGAUUAGCUAGUAGGUGAGGUAAAGGCUCACCUAGGCGACGAUCCGUAGCUGGUCUGAGAGGAUGAUCAGCCACACUGGAACUGAGACACGGUCCAGACUCCUACGGGAGGCAGCAGUGGGAAUAUUGGACAAUGGGCGAAAGCCUGAUCCAGCCAUGCCGCGUGU
rnacentral:rRNA from 1 species